rnacentral:snRNA from 1 species
GGAUUCUCCAGGCAAGAACACUGGAGUGGGUUGCCAUUUCCUUCUCCAUCAGAUGUGCUAACUACUGUGAUUUCCCAAAAUGUGGGAAACUCAACUGCAUAAUUUGUGGUAGUGGGGAACUGUGUUCAUACUUUCCCCUG